CCUACGGGAGGCAGCAGUGGGGAAUAUUGCACAAUGGGGGAAACCCUGAUGCAGCGACGCCGCGUGAAGGAAGAAGUAUUUCGGUAUGUAAACUUCUAUCAGCAGGGAAGAAAAUGACGGUACCUGACUAAGAAGCCCCGGCUAACUACGUGCCAGCAGCCGCGGUAAUACGUAGGGGGCAAGCGUUAUCCGGAUUUACUGGGUGUAAAGGGAGCGUAGGCGGUGCAGCAAGUCAGAAGUGAAAGCCCGGGGCUCAACUCCGGGACUGCUCUGGAAACUGUACGGCUGGAGUGCAGGAGAGGUAAGUGGAAUUCCUAGUGUAGCGGUGAAAUGCGUAGAUAUUAGGAGGAACACCAGUGGCGAAGGCGGCUUACUGGACUGUAACUGACGUUGAGGCUCGAAAGCGUGGGGAGCAAACAGGAUUAGAUACCCUUGUAGUC
rnacentral:rRNA from 1 species